GACGAACGCUGGCGGCGUGCCUAAUACAUGCAAGUCGAGCGGGCCUCCGGAGGUGCUUGCACCUCCGGAAGGCCAGCGGCGGACGGGUGAGUAACACGUGGGCAACCUGCCUUUGAGGCCGAGAUAACACCGGGAAACCGGUGCUAAUACCGGAUGCGUCCCCUUUCGCGCCUGCGAGAGGGGAGAAAGACGGUCUGUAAGGCCGUCGCUCGAAGAGGGGCCCGCGGCGCAUUAGCGGGUUGGUGGGGUAAGGGCCUACCAAGGCGCCGAUGCGUUGCCGACCUGAGAGGGUGAUCGGCCACACUGGGACUGAGACACGGCCCAGACUCCUGCGGGAGGCAGCAGUAGGGAAUCAUCCGCAAUGGGCGAAAGCCUGACGGUGCAACGCCGCGUGAGUGAGGAAGGUUUUCGGAUCGUAAAGCUCUGUUGUGAGGGAAGAACAGCUUCCGGAGGAAAUGCCGGAGGUUUGCCGGUACCUCACCAGAAAGCCCCGGCUAACUACGUGCCAGCAGCCGCCGUAA
rnacentral:rRNA from 1 species